AGGUCCAAUCCUCCGAUGCAACAUGCCCACUCUGUCCAGCCGAGACAAAUCACCGGAAAGACCUUAGCAGCUCUACUACGGUAGAAGACCUAUGGACUUAAUAUUGUGAAAUCAUGUCUUAGUGUUUGCAACUUGAGUUCUUCAUAAGAGGUAAUCGAACAAUUGGUCAGGUAAGCAGGUGGGAUGCUCCCCUUACUCGGAGAGUAAGGUCCUAAUUAAGUAACCACCUUUUAGACUUGCCUAGACACCAAUUAGAUCAAUUAAUCUAAUAUGACAAGCUCAUGUUGGUUCACUCUCGACUGAUUGAGGAGGUUUGUAUUUAGGUCUUUCUCGAUCGAUUAUUCACAUCUCAUGCAAAUAUAUAUCUACCCGCAUAGACAUAAGCAUUAAACAUCCAGGCAUUUAUCAACAAAUAAAUUUAAAUGGUGAUGAUCAUGGAUCCAGGAUGGGGUCAUUUUUCAAGCACAUGCACGUUAAUUGGUUUGAUCGUCUUUAACUCUUGACUCGAUCUUGAUCCCCUAGGUCCAAUUGUGAUCAACUCCUUGAUCCAUCUUCAAUCAACCAUUGAUCUCGAUCCACGCAUGUUGAGCUUGUUGAUGUUCAUAUCGAUCAACCAUCGACGUGCAACACACAUCACAGAUUACAUCCUAGAUUACUUUAAAAAAUUAAAUAAAAUUAAAAAAUAAAUUACAGCCCUUUUCAUGAGACACGCAGGUCUCUAAUACAUGAAUUUAAGAUGCACGCAGGCAUCUGAAAAAUUAAAAAUUACAUAGCAUCACAGAACAUUGCAGAACAUUUCAGCACAUGUAAAGGGUCCAUCUAUGAUCAUCACCAUACGCAUCUCAUGCAUAAAUAUUAUUUUCAGAUCUGUAAUUUAACUAAUUAUUUCAUCUCAUGACUUGCUGAUUAUGCAAGACAUGAUUCUAAAUAUUUGUAAUCACAUUAUCAAAACAUUAGAAUCAUUAAUCUAAGCAUCUAAAAAUCA
rnacentral:lncRNA from 1 species